AACACAUGCAAGUCGAGCGGAUGAGGGGAGCUUGCUCCCUGAUUUAGCGGCGGACGGGUGAGUAAUGCCUAGGAAUCUGCCUGGUAGUGGGGGAUAACGUUCCGAAAGGAACGCUAAUACCGCAUACGUCCUACGGGAGAAAGCAGGGGACCUUCGGGCCUUGCGCUAUCAGAUGAGCCUAGGUCGGAUUAGCUAGUUGGUGAGGUAAUGGCUCACCAAGGCGACGAUCCGUAACUGGUCUGAGAGGAUGAUCAGUCACACUGGAACUGAGACACGGUCCAGACUCCUACGGGAGGCAGCAGUGGGGAAUAUUGGACAAUGGGCGAAAGCCUGAUCCAGCCAUGCCGCGUGUGUGAAGAAGGUCUUCGGAUUGUAAAGCACUUUAAGUUGGGAGGAAGGGCAGUAAGUUAAUACCUUGCUGUUUUGACGUUACCCACAGAAGAAGCACCGGCUAACUCCGUGCCAGCAGCCGCGGUAAUACGGAGGGUGCAAGCGUUAAUCGGAAUUACUGGGCGUAAAGCGCACGCAGGCGGCUUUUUAAGUCGGAUGUGAAAGCCCCGGGCUCAACCUGGGAAUUGCAUCUGAUACUGGGAAGCUAGAGUAUGUGAGAGGGGGGUAGAAUUCCAAGUGUAGCGGUGAAAUGCGU
rnacentral:rRNA from 1 species